GGCUCAGUGGUCUAGUGGUAUGAUUCGCGCUUCGGGUGCGCGAGGUCGCGGGUUCGAUUCCCGCCUGAGCCC